rnacentral:rRNA from 1 species
AGCAGCCGCGGUAAUUCCAGCUCCAAUAGCGUAUAUUAAAGUUGUUGCAGUUAAAAAGCUCGUAGUUGAAUUUCGGGACCAAUCUGUCGGUCGUGCCUCGGUACGCACUGGCUUAUUGGUUUCUCCCUUCUGAAGAACCAUGAUGUCAUUCAUUUGGUGUCGUGGGGAAUCAGGACUGUUACUUUGAAAAAAUUAGAGUGUUUAAAGCAGGCUCACGCUUGAAUACAUUAGCAUGGAAUAAUGAAAUAGGACGUUUGAUUCUAUUUUGUUGGUUUCUAGGAUCGACGUAAUGAUUAAUAGGGAUAGUUGGGGGCAUUAGUAUUCAAUUGUCAGAGGUGAAAUUCUUGGAUUUAUUGAAGACUAACUACUGCGAAAGCAUUUGCCAAGGAUGUUUUCAUUAAUCAAGAACGAAAGUUAGGGGAUCGAAGACGAUCAGAUACCGUCGUAGUCUUAACCAUAAACUAUGCCGACUAGGGAUCGGAUGAUGU